rnacentral:rRNA from 1 species
AGAGUUUGAUUAUGGCUCAGGAUGAACGCUAGCGAUAGGCCUAACACAUGCAAGUCGAGGGGCAGCACAUGAAGUAGCAAUACGGAUGGUGGCGACCGGCGCACGGGUGAGUAACGCGUAUGCAACCUGCCUACAACAGGGGAAUAACCCGUUGAAAGACGGACUAAUACCCCAUAACACAGGGAUCCCGCAUGGGAAUAUUUGUUAAAGAUUUAUCGGUUGUAGAUGGGCAUGCGUUCCAUUAGCUGGUUGGUGAGGUAACGGCUCACCAAGGCAACGAUGGAUAGGGGAACUGAGAGGUUUAUCCCCCACACUGGUACUGAGACACGGACCAGACUCCUACGGGAGGCAGCAGUGAGGAAUAUUGGUCAAUGGACGCAAGUCUGAACCAGCCACGUCGCGUGAAGGAAGACGGCCCUACGGGUUGUAAACUUCUUUUGUAAGGGAAUAAAGUGCAGUACGUGUACUGUUUUGCAUGUACCUUACGAAUAAGGAUCGGCUAACUCCGUGCCAGCAGCCGCGGUAAUACGGAGGAUCCGAGCGUUAUCCGGAUUUAUUGGGUUUAAAGGGUGCGCAGGCGGGAGAUUAAGUCGGCGGUGAAAUUUUGCAGCUCAACUGUAAAAGUGCCUUCGAAACUGGUUUUCUUGAGUGUGGAUGAAGUAGGCGGAAUUUGUGGUGUAGCGGUGAAAUGCAUAGAUAUCACGAGGAACUCCGAUUGCGCAGGCAGCUUACUAAAACAUAACUGACGCUCAGGCACGAAGGCGUGGGGAUCAAACAGGAUUAGAUACCCUGGUAGUC